GCACCGCAGCUGUGCUAAUCAGCGCACCUGGUGCUGAGAUGCUCUGCAAACUAGCACACCAACGUAACCCACAGCGUAUCAGACUUGGAGAGGAGAGAACACACGUUCACCUGACUGCUGGUCCCGAAGUUCACUGGCCUAGAGAUUCUCUCCUUUUUUCUCUUCUCAUGAAGGAUACUGACGCUUCAUCCUCUCACAAUAUUAGCCGGGUCCCAAUUUCAGGGGCUGCCUCGUCCUUCGGAGGGUGCAUUUGUCGACCGGUUGCGUCACAGCGUGGCGACGAGGCUGUCCCAAUUCGCCCCUUCCAGCCCCCGCGGAACGAAGGAUAUGACCUGUGGAUCCUACUCGGCCUGGGCUAUCCCAGGAUGCAUUGCGCGCCGGUGAUGAAGGCUAUGGCCAAGCUCCGGGGACUUCGCUCAGCCUUGAAGCAAAAAAGACAUGUUGGCCAGUCCGUGGUACUGCAGCGAAAAAAUCCAGUGCGGCCGCGGUGCAAGCUGGGUACCCACAGUCACGUCGCGUCCCCGGAACGAGGUUCUUUGCUCGGUUACGGUGAACUCUUCAAUAUAAACAGGGAGCAAGGAGCAGACUGUUCAGUUUAUAAAACUGAGGGGGGAGGAUGAUUUCACAUUCACAGGAGCGAAACACUCCAGUUUUGCAUGGAGGGCAAUAGAUGGGCCUGCAGGGAAGGGUGACUACCCUGCAAGCCAAGAAGAAGUGGGACAAUCUUUAAAAAAAAUCAAGGAUUGCUGAAGUAUCCUGGGUCAGGAGAGGGAGUAAGUGGAAAAUCCACUGAGGCACCUUGGCCCUGGUUUGUCCUCAUGGAUGAGGUGUUGGGACAGAAGCAUUCCAUUGUCCCACCCUGUCCUAAUUGCCUCAAUCCCAGAGGACCAUCCAGGGCCAAGUUCAGCAGUAGGUGACCAGGAGGAGGAGGACGAAGAAGGAGAAUCCUCAAAGAAGACAUACGGCUACAGAGAGACAGAAGAGAGGAGAGCAAGGAGAGGAUGGAGCGAGUUGUCAAAAAAUGAAGGCACGUCCUCCGGAGCCAUGAUGUCACCAGCCCCAAGGCAGAUGUUGUGGAGGAGGGCGCAUGCUGUUAUGACCUGAAAUGGUUAAAAUGGUUUAGAAAAUAAGAGCCCAGAAAAAAUACAACUGUUGAAUAAAUAAG